rnacentral:rRNA from 1 species
GGUGAAAAGCACCCCGGAAGGGGAGUGAAAUAGAACCUGAAACCGUGUGCUUACAAGUAGUCAGAGCCCGUUAAUGGGUGAUGGCGUGCCUUUUGUAGAAUGAACCGGCGAGUUACGAUUUGAUGCAAGGUUAAGCAGUAAAUGUGGAGCCGUAGCGAAAGCGAGUCUGAAUAGGGCGUUUAGUAUUUGGUCGUAGACCCGAAACCAGGUGAUCUACCCUUGGUCAGGUUGAAGUUCAGGUAACACUGAAUGGAGGACCGAACCGACUUACGUUGAAAAGUGAGCGGAUGAACUGAGGGUAGCGGAGAAAUUCCAAUCGAACCUGGAGAUAGCUGGUUCUCUCCGAAAUAGCUUUAGGGCUAGCCUCAAGUGAUGAUUAUUGGAGGUAGAGCACUGUUUGGACGAGGGGCCCCUCUCGGGUUACCGAAUUCAGACAAACUCCGAAUGCCAAUUAAUUUAACUUGGGAGUCAGAACAUGGGUGAUAAGGUCCGUGUUCGAAAGGGAAACAGCCCAGACCACCAGCUAAGGUCCCAAAAUAUAUGUUAAGUGGAAAAGGAUGUGGCGUUGCCCAGACAACUAGGAUGUUGGCUUAGAAGCAGCCAUCAUUUAAAGAGUGCGUAAUAGCUCACUAGUCGAGUGACACUGCGCCGAAAAUGUACCGGGGCUAAACAUAUUACCGAAGCUGUGGAUUGUCCUUUGGACAAUGGUAGGAGAGCGUUCUAAGGGCGUUGAAGCAUGAUCGUAAGGACAUGUGGAGCGCUUAGAAGUGAGAAUGCCGGUGUGAGUAGCGAAAGACGGGUGAGAAUCCCGUCCACCGAUUGACUAAGGUUUCCAGAGGAAGGCUCGUCCGCUCUGGGUUAGUCGGGUCCUAAGCUGAGGCCGACAGGCGUAGGCGAUGGAUAACAGGUUGAUAUUCCUGUACCACCUAUAAUCGUUUUAAUCGAUGGGGGGACGCAGUAGGAUAGGCGAAGCGUGCGAUUGGAUUGCACGUCUAAGCAGUAAGGCUGAGUAUUAGGCAAAUCCGGUACUCAUUAAGGCUGAGCUGUGAUGGGGAGAAGACAUUGUGUCUUCGAGUCGUUGAUUUCACACUGCCGAGAAAAGCCUCUAGAUAGAAAAUAGGUGCCCGUACCGCAAACCGACACAGGUAGUCAAGAUGAGAAUUCUAAGGUGAGCGAGCGAACUCUCGUUAAGGAACUCGGCAAAAUGACCCCGUAACUUCGGGAGAAGGGGUGCUCUUUAGGGUUAACGCCCAGAAGAGCCGCAGUGAAUAGGCCCAAGCGACUGUUUAUCAAAAACACAGGUCUCUGCUAAACCGUAAGGUGAUGUAUAGGGGCUGACGCCUGCCCGGUGCUGGAAGGUUAAGAGGAGUGGUUAGCUUCUGCGAAGCUACGAAUCGAAGCCCCAGUAAACGGCGGCCGUAACUAUAACGGUCCUAAGGUAGCGAAAUUCCUUGUCGGGUAAGUUCCGACCCGCACGAAAGGCGUAACGAUUUGGGCACUGUCUCAACGAGAGACUCGGUGAAAUCAUAGUACCUGUGAAGAUGCAGGUUACCCGCGACAGGACGGAAAGACCCCGUGGAGCUUUACUGUAGCCUGAUAUUGAAAUUCGGCACAGCUUGUACAGGAUAGGUAGGAGCCUUUGAAACGUGAGCGCUAGCUUACGUGGAGGCGCUGGUGGGAUACUACCCUAGCUGUGUUGGCUUUCUAACCCGCACCACUUAUCGUGGUGGGAGACAGUGUCAGGCGGGCAGUUUGACUGGGGCGGUCGCCUCCUAAAAGGUAACGGAGGCGCUCAAAGGUUCCCUCAGAAUGGUUGGAAAUCAUUCAUAGAGUGUAAAGGCAUAAGGGAGCUUGACUGCGAGACCUACAAGUCGAGCAGGGUCGAAAGACGGACUUAGUGAUCCGGUGGUUCCGCAUGGAAGGGCCAUCGCUCAACGGAUAAAAGCUACCCCGGGGAUAACAGGCUUAUCUCCCCCAAGAGUUCACAUCGACGGGGAGGUUUGGCACCUCGAUGUCGGCUCAUCGCAUCCUGGGGCUGUAGUCGGUCCCAAGGGUUGGGCUGUUCGCCCAUUAAAGCGGUACGCGAGCUGGGUUCAGAACGUCGUGAGACAGUUCGGUCCCUAUCCGUCGUGGGCGUAGGAAAUUUGAGAGGAGCUGUCCUUAGUACGAGAGGACCGGGAUGGACAUACCUCUGGUGUACCAGUUGUCGUGCCAACGGCAUAGCUGGGUAGCUAUGUGUGGACGGGAUAAGUGCUGAAAGCAUCUAAGCAUGAAGCCCCCCUCAAGAUGAGAUUUCCCAACUUCGGUUAUAAGAUCCCUCAAAGAUGAUGAGGUUAAUAGGUUCGAGGUGGAAGCAUGGUGACAUGUGGAGCUGACGAAUACUAAUCGAUCGAAGACUUAAUCAA